GAUGAACGCUGACAGAAUGCUUAACACAUGCAAGUCUUUGGCGAAGCUGUGCUUGCACAGCCUAGCCAAGGCGGACGGGUGAGUAACGCGUAAGGAACUUGCCCUGCAGUCAGGGAUAACAGACGGAAACGACUGAUAAGACCUGGUAAAGUCAGGCGGACUCAUGUCCAGCCUGAUGAAAAGAGAUGCUGCAGGAGAGCCUUGCGUCCUAUUAGCUUGUUGGUGGGGUAACGGCCCACCAAGGCGAUGAUAGGUAGCCGGCCUGAGAGGGUGGACGGCCACAAGGGGACUGAGAUACGGCCCUUACUCCUACGGGAGGCAGCAGUGGAGAAUAUUGGACAAUGGGGGCAACCCUGAUCCAGCAAUUCUGUGUGCACGAUGAAGGUUUUCGGAUUGUAAAGUGCUUUCAGCAGGGAAGAAAAAAAUGACGGUACCUGCAGAAGAAGCGACGGCUAAAUACGUG
rnacentral:rRNA from 1 species